rnacentral:rRNA from 1 species
UACGGAUGGUGCAAGCGUUAUCCGGAUUUACUGGGUUUAAAGGGUGCGUAGGUGGGUUGGUAAGUCAGUGGUGAAAUACUUUCGCUUAACGAAGGAACUGCCAUUGAUACUACCAGUCUUGAAUACAGUGGAGGUAGGCGGAAUGCGUCAUGUAGCGGUGAAAUGCUUAGAUAUGACGCAGCACACCAAUUGCGAAGGCAGCUUGCUACACUGUUAUUGACACUGAGGCACGAAAGCGUGGGGAUCAAACAGG